UACAGAGGUCUCAACCGUUGUUCGGAUUCAUUGGGCGUAAAGGGUGCGUAGGCGGUCGCGCAAGUCGGAUGUGAAAUCUUAGGGCUCAACCCUGAAACUGCAUUCGAUACUGCGUGGCUUGAGUACUGGAGGGGAGACUGGAAUUUACGGUGUAGCAGUGAAAUGCGUAGAUAUCGAGAGGAACACCAGUGGCGAAGGCGAGUCUCUGGACGACUCCUGACACUGAGGCACGAAAGCUAGGGGAGCGAAUGGG
rnacentral:rRNA from 1 species